CUGCAACUCGACUCCAUGAAGCUGGAUUCGCUGUAAUCGCGCAUCAGCCAUGGCGCGGUGAAUACGUUCCCGGGCCUUGUACACACCGCCCGUCAAGCCAUGGAAGCCGGGGGUGCCUGAAGUGUGCAGCCGCAAGGAGCGCCCUAAGGUAAAACCGGUGACUGGGGCUAAGUCGUAACAAGGUACC
rnacentral:rRNA from 1 species